GUUGGUAGUAUAGUGAUAGAAUUCUUGCCUUAAAUGUAGGAGGCCUGGGUUCGAUUCCCAGCCAAAGCA
rnacentral:tRNA from 1 species